GAUUUCAAAUCUCUGCCAGGAAGUGGCUUCAGACGCUUGAAGCCUGAAGAUGGAAAAUCCUAACCCUUGGUUUUGCUUCAGGUUCCAGCAAGUAGGAACAGAGUUCCCAUAAAAUGAAGCUAAGGUCACUGGCAGAGUGCAAUGGGUUAAACUGACAUGACCGGAAUUGGACAGUGAGCACUGCUGGCCCCAUCUCGGAAACGAGAUUGAUUGGCCAACUUAGUGAAAUAAGAUUUUGUCCACUCUACAUGCAGACACUGCCCACAAAACCUAUGAGAUGGGGAGAGCCAUACCCUUUUUUGAAGCAAAGCCAUCUGUAUUAGUGUUCUUCAAAGAAACAAAACCAAUAGGAGAUAUAUACAAAGAUAUUUAAGGGUGGCCCUGUGCUCUUGAUAUGCCAUGUUUGUGCCAUAGCUCUCUCUGCUCCAUGGAAGUCUUCUCGUGCCAGCCUGUGAUGGCUGCCCUCAGCAUAUUUUCUGCAGUCGUGACCUCUCCUUGUGACUCUAUCAGCUCAUGUGGCUGCUGCUUUGUCAUUCUGUUGGCAUCUGAGGAGAGGACACCACAGAUCCUGUCCCUAAAUGCUUCAGAAAUGAUGAUUAGAGGGAGAACUGUCAGUGAGUCAUUGUGGAAAAUGAUUUUUCUGUAAGUAAGAAGGAGAAGUGUGUUGUUGAAGAUUAUAAACCCCACCAUAGCAUCAAAAACCUGACUAUUUAAAGUAUACAUGGCAGUUUUCAAAAGAAGAGAUGAGCUCAGUGGGAUUCUUGGUUGUUAUGCAUUCAAUCUUAAAUGGAUUUGGGGGGAGAAAAAACACCAUUUGGUUAUUUUAAAGAGUUUAAGGUGCUAAGAAAAAUAAAUGUUAUUUAUAAAUACUCAAACUUUUGAAUAUUCUGCCUACAUUUUCUACAUUUUACUUCUAUUACUUUUGUUGAUCAGCUUAUCUUCUCCCUUAGAAUACUUUCUCAGUGAUUUUUUUAAAGUCUUAAAAACCAUAUUGCCACACUCCUACCACCAAAACACAAUUAACUUAUUUUUAUAAUCCUAUCUAA
rnacentral:lncRNA from 1 species